GACGAACGCUGGCGGCGUGCUUAACACAUGCAAGUCGAACGAAGUGGCGAACGGGUGAGUAACGCGUAAUCAACCUGCCCUUCAGAGGGGGACAACAGUUGGAAACGACUGCUAAUACCGCAUACUGAAGGAGGGGAUUGCGUCUGAUUAGCUAGUUGGGGGGGUAACGGCCCACCAAGGCGAUGAUCAGUAGCCGGGCUGGGAGGAAGAACGGUCAAAAUGGGAAUGAGACACGGCCCCAAACUCUAAUGGAGGCAGCAGGGGGGAAUCUUCCGGAAUGGGAGGAAGGCAGGAGGGGGAAAGGCGGGGGGGUGAUGAAGGCGUUCGGGAUGGAAAGAGUUGUUUGUCGGGAAGCGGUACCGAAACAGAAAGCCACGGCUAACUACGUGCCAGCAGCCGCGGUAAUAC
rnacentral:rRNA from 1 species